UACGUAGGUGGCGAGCGUUGUCCGGAAUUACUGGGUGUAAAGGGAGCGUAGGCGGGAUAUUAAGUUGAAUGUAUAAACUACCGGCUUAACCGAUAGAAGCGUUCAAAACUGAUAUUCUUGAGUGAAGUAGAGGCAGGCGGAAUUCCUAGUGUAGCGGUGAAAUGCGUAGAUAUUAGGAGGAACACCAGUGGCGAAGGCGACCUGCUGGGCUUUAACUGACGCUGAGGCUCGAAAGCGUGGGUAGCAAACAGG
rnacentral:rRNA from 1 species